UGCAGUCGAGCGAACAGAUAAGGAGCUUGCUCCUUUGACGUUAGCGGCGGACGGGUGAGUAACACGUGGGUAACCUACCUAUAAGACUGGGAUAACUUCGGGAAACCGGAGCUAAUACCGGAUAACAUUUGGAACCGCAUGGUUCUAAAGUGAAAGAUGGUUUUGCUAUCACUUAUAGAUGGACCCGCGCCGUAUUAGCUAGUUGGUAAGGUAACGGCUUACCAAGGCGACGAUACGUAGCCGACCUGAGAGGGUGAUCGGCCACACUGGAACUGAGACACGGUCCAGACUCCUACGGGAGGCAGCAGUAGGGAAUCUUCCGCAAUGGGCGAAAGCCUGACGGAGCAACGCCGCGUGAGUGAUGAAGGGUUUCGGCUCGUAAAACUCUGUUAUUAGGGAAGAACAAAUGUGUAAGUAACUGUGCACGUCUUGACGGUACCUAAUCAGAAAGCCACGGCUAACUACGUGCCAGCAGCCGCGGUAAUACGUAGGUGGCAAGCGUUAUCCGGAAUUAUUGGGCGUAAAGCGCGCGUAGGCGGUUUCUUAAGUCUGAUGUGAAAGCCCACGGCUCAACCGUGGAGGGUCAUUGGAAACUGGGAAACUUGAGUGCAGAAGAGGAAAGUGGAAUUCCAUGUGUAGCGGUGAAAUGCGCAGAGAUAUGGAGGAACACCAGUGGCGAAGGCGACUUUCUGGUCUGUAACUGACGCUGAUGUGCGAAAGCGUGGGGAUCAAACAGGAUUAGAUACCCUGGUAGUCCACGCCGUAAACGAUGAGUGCUAAGUGUUAGGGGGUUUCCGCCCCUUAGUGCUGCAGCUAACGCAUUAAGCACUCCGCCUGGGGAGUACGACCGCAAGGUUGAAACUCAAAGGAAUUGACGGGGACCCGCACAAGCGGUGGAGCAUGUGGUUUAAUUCGAAGCAACGCGAAGAACCUUACCAAAUCUUGACAUCCUUUGAAAACUCUAGAGAUAGAGCCUUCCCCUUCGGGGGACAAAGUGACAGGUGGUGCAUGGUUGUCGUCAGCUCGUGUCGUGAGAUGUUGGGUUAAGUCCCGCAACGAGCGCAACCCUUAAGCUUAGUUGCCAUCAUUAAGUUGGGCACUCUAGGUUGACUGCCGGUGACAAACCGGAGGAAGGUGGGGAUGACGUCAAAUCAUCAUGCCCCUUAUGAUUUGGGCUACACACGUGCUACAAUGGACAAUACAAAGGGCAGCUAAACCGCGAGGUCAUGCAAAUCCCAUAAAGUUGUUCUCAGUUCGGAUUGUAGUCUGCAACUCGACUACAUGAAGCUGGAAUCGCUAGUAAUCGUAGAUCAGCAUGCUACGGUGAAUACGUUCCCGGGUCUUGUACACACCGCCCGUCACACCACGAGAGUUUGUAACACCCGAAGCCGGUGGAGUAACCAUUUAUGGAGCUA
rnacentral:rRNA from 1 species